AUGGUAUUGCAAGGUUGGUACAGUGAGGCUGGGGCUGCCUUUAGGCCUGUGUGCCUCCCUUCAGAGCUGCCUACCAGGAGCUCUCUGAGUCCCAGCACCCACGACAGCUGGAAUGAAGGAUAAAACUAUUUCUUCAGCAAAAAUGUACAUUUAUAAAGGUACCGACGAAGAAUAACCCUUGAAAUCAGUCAGUGUCAUGGGGACAAGCAUACAGAAGUGCCUUGAUCCAGUCCCUGAAGGAACCAGUCUUUUGUCCUCCCCCUAGCUCAUAAGAACUCCUGUGAAGCCUUUUCUUUCACUACUGUGUUCACUGUCUGUUCAUUUGGCAGUUGAGUCACUGACAUCCAGGGUGCGGAGUUAUGCUGAUGGCAUUAAAGCUAUCUGGUUGGAUAGCACAGGGCCACAAAAGGAAGGGCAUCUCAGAGAGGAGAUGGCUGUGACAGGCGUCAUAGUUGCAAACAUCCUCUUAUUGGGCGUUUGGAGACUGGGGUCCCUGCAUUGGUACCUUUAUA
rnacentral:lncRNA from 1 species